GAACGCGAAGAACCUUACCAGGUCUUGACAUCCGACUAACGAGAUAGAGAUAUGUCAGGUGCCCUUCGGGGAAAGUCGAGACAGGUGGUGCAUGGUUGUCGUCAGCUCGUGUCGUGAGAUGUUGGGUUAAGUCCUGCAACGAGCGCAACCCCUGCCAUUAGUUGCUACGCAAGAGCACUCUAAUGGGACCGCUACCGACAAGGUGGAGGAAGGUGGGGACGACGUCAAAUCAUCAUGCCCCUUAUGACCUGGGCUACACACGUAAUACAAUGGUCAUUAACAGAGGGAAGCAAAGCCGCGAGGCAGAGCAAAUCCCCAAAAAUGAUCUCAGUUCGGAUCGCAGGCUGCAACCCGCCUGCGUGAAGUUGGAAUUGCUAGUAAUCGCAGAUCAGCAUGCUGCGGUGAAUACGUUCCCGGGUCUUGUACACACCGA
rnacentral:rRNA from 1 species